rnacentral:rRNA from 1 species
AUUGAACGCUGGCGGCAGGCCUAACACAUGCAAGUCGAACGGUAACAGGAAGAAGCUUGCUUCUUUGCUGACGAGCGGCGGACGGGUGAGUAAUGUCUGGGAAACUGCCUGAUGGAGGGGGAUAACUACUGGAAACGGUAGCUAAUACCGCAUAACGUCGCAAGACCAAAAAGGGUUACUUAGUGUCCCUUCGCCGUGGUUGGGUCCCAGUUGGGAUUAGUUAGUAGGUGGGGUAAGGGCCCACCCAGGCGACGAUCCCUAGCUGGUCUGGGGGGAGGACCAGCCACACUGGAACUGAGACACGGUACAGACUCCUACGGGAGGCAGCAGUGGGGAAUAUUGCACAAUGGGCGCAAGCCUAGUGCAGCCCUGCCGCGUGUAUGAAGAAGGCCUUCGGGUUGUAAAGUACUUUCAGCGGGGAGGAAGGGAGUAAAGUUAAUACCUUUGCUCAUUGACGUUACCCGAAGAAGAAGCACCGGCUAACUCCGUG